GUAAAAAACCGAAAUUUCGAUUUUUCUCAAAAACUAUAAUUUUUUCAGUUUUUGAUUAUUACGUACAAGGUGCCCCUUUGCAAGGAGUACUUGACAGUUUUUAAAUGAAAGCUCUAUCUUUAAUAACAAAAAAGUAAUGCAAAAUUUACGAUCUUAUAAAGUACAUGUUAAUGGUAAAAAACCGAAAUUUCGAUUUUUUUCAAAAACUACAACUUUUUUAGUUUUUAAUUAUUACGUACAAGGUGCCCCUUUGCAAGGAGUACUUGACAGUUUUUAAAUGAAAGCUCUAUCUUUAAUAACAAAAAAGUAAUGCAAAAUUUACGAUCUUAUAAAGUACAUGUUAAUGGUAAAAAACCGAAACUUCGAUUUUUUUCAAAAACUACAAUUUUUUUAGUUUUUUAUUAUUACGUCCAAGGUGCCCCUUUACAAGGAGUACUUGACAGUUUUUAAAUGAAAGC
rnacentral:lncRNA from 1 species